CUACUGGAGAGCAGCAAGGAAAUAGAUAUUGAUGGUAUUCGUGGACCUGUUUCUGGGUCUCUACUUUACGGAAACAAUAUUAUCUCUGGUGCCAUUAUUCCUACUUCUGCAGCUAUAGGAUUGCACUUUUACCCGAUAUGGGAAGCGGCAUCCGUUGAUGAAUGGUUAUACAAUGGUAGUCCUUAUGAACUGAUUGUUCUACACUUCUUACUUGGUGUAGCUUGUUACAUGGGUCGUGAGUGGGAA